rnacentral:rRNA from 1 species
CAGUCGCCGCGGGAAUACGAAGGGUGCAAGCGUUAAUCGGAAUUACUGGGCGUAAAGCGUGCGUAGGCGGUUUGUUAAGUCUGCUGUGAAAUCCCCGGGCUCAACCUGGGAAUGGCAGUGGAUACUGGCAAGCUAGAGUGUGUCAGAGGAUGGUGGAAUUCCCGGUGUAGCGGUGAAAUGCGUAGAGAUCGGGAGGAACAUCAGUGGCGAAGGCGGCCAUCUGGGACAACACUGACGCUGAGGCACGAAAGCGUGGGGAGCAAACAGGAUUAGAUACCCCUGUAGUCCCUGUCUCUUAUAA